GGACAUAAAGGUGAUAUGGCUGUGGCUUCUGUCACUCAGUCGAUCAUCAGAGUUGAUUUUGUUGGCUAAGCUGGUGCCCCCUUUCCUCCUCACUGCUUCAUGUGUGUCCUUCCAGAAGCUGCAGGCUCCAAAAAGGUUGAAGAUGACAACCUUCCCUUAUGGAGGAGAACUAUUCUUCCAUCAAGGGCACCUGAGAGGUUGGGCUCCACUGUUAGAACCUACAAAUGAUUUCACAUGGUCCUCCAUCUCCUAAUAGCAUCACAGGCUUGUAAACAAAAUUUGAUAUGUAGAAUGUUGGAUCCAAACUGUAGUGUUGCUCAUCUGU
rfam:Cricetulus griseus cell line CHO-K1, whole genome shotgun sequence.